UGGAACACCGACUCCCGUACGUUCACCGGAGUUAAGCAACGUCGAUCCUGGUUAGUACAUAGAUGGGUGACCUCUUGGGAUACCCCAUGCUGUAA